UACGGAGGGUGCAAACGUUGCUCGGAAUCAUUGGGCGUAAAGCGCACGUAGGCGGACCGCUAAGUCGGAUGUGAAAGCCCUCGGCUUAACCGAGGAAGUGCAUUCGAAACUGACAGUCUUGAGUAUGGAAGAGGGUCGCGGAAUUCCCGGUGUAGAGGUGAAAUUCGUAGAUAUCGGGAGGAACACCAGUGGCGAAGGCGGCGACCUGGGCCAAUACUGACGCUGAAGCGCGAAAGCUAGGGAGCGAACGGG
rnacentral:rRNA from 1 species